rnacentral:rRNA from 1 species
AGUGAACGCUGGCGGUAGGCCUAACACAUGCAAGUCGAACGGCAGCACAGUAAGAGCUCGCUCUUACGGGUGGCGAGUGGCGGACGGGUGAGGAAUACAUCGGAAUCUACUUUUUCGUGGGGGAUAACGUAGGGAAACUUACGCUAAUACCGCAUACGACCUACGGGUGAAAGCAGGGGAUCUUCGGACCUUGCGCGAUUGAAUGAGCCGAUGUCGGAUUAGCUAGUUGGCGGGGUAAAGGCCCACCAAGGCGACGAUCCGUAGCUGGUCUGAGAGGAUGAUCAGCCACACUGGAACUGAGACACGGUCCAGACUCCUACGGGAGGCAGCAGUGGGGAAUAUUGGACAAUGGGCGCAAGCCUGAUCCAGCCAUACCGCGUGGGUGAAGAAGGCCUUCGGGUUGUAAAGCCCUUUUGUUGGGAAAGAAAAGCAGCGGGUUAAUACCCCGCUGUUCUGACGGUACCCAAAGAAUAAGCACCGGCUAACUUCGUG